ACGAAGGGUGCAAGCGUUACUCGGAAUUACUGGGCGUAAAGCGUGCGUAGGUGGUUCGUUAAGUCUGCCGUGAAAGCCCCGGGCUCAACCUGGGAAUGGCGGUGGAUACUGGCGGACUAGAGUGCGGUAGAGGGUGGUGGAAUUCCACGUGUAGCAGUGAAAUGCGUAGAUAUGUGGAGGAACACCGAUGGCGAAGGCAGCCCCCUGGGCUAACACUGACGCUCAUGCACGAAAGCGAGGGGAGCAAACAGGA
rnacentral:rRNA from 1 species